rnacentral:rRNA from 1 species
ACAUAGGGUGCAAGCGUUGUCCGGAAUUAUUGGGCGUAAAGAGCUCGUAGGUCGUUUGACACGUCGGAUGUGAAAAUCUGAGGCUUAACCUCAGACCUGCAUUCGAUACGGUCAAACUAGAGUGUGGUAGGGGAGACUGGAAUUCCUGGUGUAGCGGUGGAAUGCGCAGAUAUCAGGAGGAACACCAAUGGCGAAGGCAGGUCUCUGGGCCAUUACUGACACUGAGGAGCGAAAGCGCGGGGAGCGAACAGG